rnacentral:rRNA from 1 species
UCUGGUUGAUCCUGCCAGUAGUCAUAUGCUUGUCUCAAAGAUUAAGCCAUGCAUGUCUAAGUAUAAGCAAUUUAUACAGUGAAACUGCGAAUGGCUCAUUAAAUCAGUUAUCGUUUAUUUGAUAGUUCCUUUACUACAUGGUAUAACUGUGGUAAUUCUAGAGCUAACACAUGCUUAAAAUCUCGACCCUUUGGAAGAGAUGUAUUUAUUAGAUAAAAAAUCAAUGUCUUCGGACUCUUUGAUGAUUCAUAAUAACUUUUCGAAUCGCAUGGCCUUGUGCUGGCGAUGGUUCAUUCAAAUUUCUGCCCUAUCAACUUUCGAUGGUAGGAUAGUGGCCUACCAUGGUUUCAACGGGUAACGGGGAAUAAGGGUUCGAUUCCGGAGAGGGAGCCUGAGAAACGGCUACCACAUCCAAGGAAGGCAGCAGGCGCGCAAAUUACCCAAUCCUAAUUCAGGGAGGUAGUGACAAUAAAUAACGAUACAGGGCCCAUUCGGGUCUUGUAAUUGGAAUGAGUACAAUGUAAAUACCUUAACGAGGAACAAUUGGAGGGCAAGUCUGGUA